rnacentral:rRNA from 1 species
CAGCCGCCACGGGAAUACAGAGGGUGCGAGCGUUAAUCGGAUUUACUGGGCGUAAAGCGUGCGUAGGCGGCUUUUUAAGUCGGAUGUGAAAUCCCUGAGCUUAACUUAGGAAUUGCAUUCGAUAAUGGGAAGCUAGAGUAUGGGAGAGGAUGGUAGAAUUCCAGGUGUAGCGGUGAAAUGCGUAGAGAUCUGGAGGAAUACCGAUGGCGAAGGCAGCCAUCUGGCCUAAUACUGACGCUGAGGUACGAAAGCAUGGGGAGCAAACAGGAUUAGAUACCCCCGUAGUCCCUGUCUCUUAUAC